UUCCUGUAGCGCAAUGGAUGACGUGUUGGAGUUCUAAUCCAAAGGUAGUGGCUUCGAAUCCCACCUUUGAAG